AUUGGCCAGUAGCAUAUCCCUGAUCUCAGUGAGUUCCUCCUUGGUGAACACAAAGCCCAUGCUUCCCAGGAUAUGAGGUCUGAGACCCUGGUCGUGCCGAGGCCUGCAGCCCGUGCCUGGCCGAACAAUGCAGUGUGGUUGCUGUGCAGCAUCUGAAUCUUCACAGCAGAGGCGCCAGGGGUAACAUAAAAGCCAUGGUUAUGAGCCCCAGAAGAUAGAGCAUAAGUGAACAACAGAGAGGGCCUUUCUCACACUCCUCAAUGAAAAUUGAAGCCCACUGGAAAAGUGAAGAAAAACUUCAGUAAAAGCUCACUGGACCAUCGUGGUUGGAGGUCAGGGACUUCAACUUGGACCUUGCAGCCAGAAAUCAGCCUGAAUCUCAGUAGACUACAGCUGGCUUCCUGAGAAUAAUCAACUAAGACCCACACACUGCUAC
ensembl:lncRNA